AGGUGCUUCUUCUGUAACUUAGUGUAUUUGGCUCUUCUCAUUUCCUGGCGAGCUUUUUAGUCUGUACAGUUGAAUCGUUGGAAGUUGUUCUCUACUAUCUAUAGAGGUUUUAUCCAAAGUAUUUGCUACCUGACUUGCUUUUUUGAAAUACACUGUCCUGAUAGACAUAUUUCCAUGGGAUUUUAGAAAAAUAUAUGUGAAUUUGCAUACAUUUUCUAAAUUUCUAUCUUUACUUAUCCAUGCUUCCCCAUAAAUAAAUAGCAGGCUCAACAAAAAUGAAUGUUCGCUUGUGUUCAAAUUUCAAGGAAGUGUGCUUCACGCUUCUCUUUCUGCAAUAUGUUUCAGAGUAUAUGAUUUGAUUUUCCUACUUUCUCAGUUACAAUACUGUGUACUUCAUUCCUAGCUUUGCUUUAGGAAAUAGGUAUGCAGGUUAUCGAAAGCUCCAUUUUUCUCCAUUAUAUAGAUUAUAUAGCUUUGUGAUCGAAGGUAGGUUGUCACAUAGGGGAUGUUGCUUGUGAAAGUUAUAUACAGCCAUGUGUCCCUGACAAAAUAAUCGCAGCUCAUGUCAAAAGGAUCAGGGAACCUCAACCAUUUUUUCUGAAACAUGUCUCAGCUCAUGUUCCUACUUUCCCAGCUACACUACUACGUACUUCAUUCUUACCUUCGCUUUUGGAAGUUACAUUCUUUCUUUUCCCUCAUACACUUGCUAACGAUAUUGGCGAAGUAAUCCCCACUUCAGAUUUCCCAUUGAAUGAAUAACUAAUUUAGAUUGUUCAAAAAUUGUAGGUAGAUGAGUAGGAGCAAGGCAUCACACUCCAGCUCUGAGAAGAAAAGGAUAUGAAGACAAAGAUAGAUGAGUGUUCUGGUCCGACGCAAAAACAUUUUGCGUGUAAUAAUGAACUGUAAUUUACCACAAUCUCUCUAAAACAGGCCUACUUAUUACCAGUCCGUUGCUUGCUUUUGUAUUAGGAAGUAUGACUCAGUCAUAUAUAUUUACAUUCACGUUGUUUAGUUAUGGUUUGUAUGCAUGAAAAUACCAUUUUAAUCGAGCUUGAAAAUUCUUUUGUGUAGUGAAAUUGUAUCUAGCAGUUUGUAAAGGGCAAAUGAAACACAUUUCAAAUAACUCUUUAGUCUAAAUUGACACCUUGUGCCAUUAGACAUCAUAAUCAUAAAUGGUUGCUAAAGAGUUUGAAUUGGUAAAGUGGUUGCAUCCGCUGUUACAAGUCUGGAAUGUUCCUCCGUGCUAGAAGCUAAUUUAAUUUUGAUAACACUUCGUGUUUGAAAUGGACAUUGUGCUGUUUGGUGUAAUGGGUCAUUUGUGUAUGCAGAGAAAUCAGAAAUAAUAGGAAAGGAGAAAUCUCAUCAGUUGAGUAUGCUUCUCUCGCCCAAAUGAGGAACCCAGGAAGAAAAGGGGAUAAGUAGGCACUGUGUAUGUAGGCGUGACUCCGAACGGUCCACACAAAUUGUUCCUGGACCGGGCUAGGUAGCAUAUGUACCUUUCACAUACCUGUGCCUCCAUAUGCACAACACAGAGAGGUUUUUCUUUGGGGCACAUGAAAAAUAAAAGUUUAUUGCAAACACUGCUAAAAAAUACAUCCUUAACUGGUCUAUAGAUA
rnacentral:lncRNA from 1 species